GGCGGACGGCUGAGUAACACGUAGGAACGUACCCCAAAGUGAGGGAUAAGCACCAGAAAUGGUGUCUAAUACCGCAUGUGGCCCACGGGCUAAAGCUCCGGCGCUUUGGGAACGGCCUGCGUAUGAUUAGAUAGUUGGUAGGGUAAUGGCCUACCAAGUCGACGAUCAUUAGCUGGUCUGAGAGGAUGACCAGCCAGACUGGGACUGAGAACGGCCCAGACUCCUACGGGAGGCAGCAGUAGGGAAUUUUCCACAAUGGGCGAAAGCCUGAUGGAGCAACGCCGCGUGCAGGAUGAAUGCCUUCGGGUUGUAAACUGCUUUUAUCUGUGACGAAUAUGACGGUAGCAGAUGAAUAAGGAUCGGCUAACUCCGUGCCAGCCGCCGCGG
rnacentral:rRNA from 1 species